UUCAUAUAUCCAAUACUGAAAUAAAAAUAAAAGAAAUAUUAAGAUUUUUAUAUGAUUAAAUUAUAUGUAACAGGAAAAAAAUAAAAGAAAAAUACCUGGAAUGCAAGUGGAUAACCAUGUAACGAAUAUUUACAAUCUGUUUGGUCAUUUUGUUGCAUCCUUCGUAUUCUUUCAAGGUGUGAUUCUUGCAAUGAAUUUAAUAAAACAAAGUAUG
rnacentral:lncRNA from 1 species